AGGACGAACGCUGGCGGCGCACUUAAAGCAUGCAAGUCGAACGAAGCCUUCGGGCUUAGUGGCGAACGGGUGAGUAUCACGUGAGGAACCCACCCCGGAGACCGGGAUAACUGCGGGAAACCGCUGCUAAUACCGGAUGUCCCCAUCGGAUCGCAUGGUCUGAUGAGGAAAUGGAUUCCGCUCCGGGACGGCCUCGCGGCCUAUCAGCUUGUUGGUGGGGUAACGCCUACCAAGGCAUCGACGGGUAGCUGGUCUGAGAGGACGAUCAGCCACACUGGGACUGAGACACGGCCCAGACUCCUACGGGAGGCAGCAGCUGGGAAUCUUGCGCAAUGGGCGAAAGCCUGACGCAGUGACGCCGCGUGCGGGAUGAAGGCCUCCGGGUUGUAAACCGCUUUCAGCAGGAACGAAGAUGACGGUACCUGCAGAAGAAGCUCCGGCCAACUACGUGCCAGCAGACGC
rnacentral:rRNA from 1 species